UAAGACGAACCGUGCGAACGUUAUUCGGAAUCACUGGGCUUAAAGCGCGCGUAGGCGGCAUUGUAAGUUAGGGGUGAAAUUCCAUCGGCUCAACCGUGGGACUGCCUUUAAUACUGCAAUGCUUGAGGGAGGUAGGGGCAGGUGGAACUUCCGGUGGAGCGGUGAAAUGUGUUGAGAUCGGAAGGAACGCCAGUGGCGAAAGCGACCUGCUGGGUCUCCACUGACGCUGAGGCGCGAAAGCUAGGGUAGCGAACGGGAUUAGAUACCCCGGUAGUCCUAGCCUUAAACGAUGGGUACUGGGUAGAAAGUGCUCCGAUGGCACCUUCUGCCGUAGCGAAAGUGUUAAGUACCCCGCCUGGGGAGUAUGGUCGCAAGGCUG
rnacentral:rRNA from 1 species